UGCGCAGGCGGUUGUGUAAGACAGAUGUGAAAUCCCCGGGCUUAACCUGGGAAUUGCAUUUGUGACUGCACGACUAGAGUGUGUCAGAGGGGGGUGGAAUUCCACGUGUAGCAGUGAAAUGCGUAGAUAUGUGGAGGAACACCAAUGGCGAAGGCAGCCCCCUGGGAUAACACUGACGCUCAUGCACGAAAGCGUGGGGAGCAAACA
rnacentral:rRNA from 1 species